UCAUGGCAAUUACAAUUGUUUGCAUAAGUUCAAUAAGAAUCUGUUCAUCUUAUAACAGGUCACUAUUGAAAAUACUGGUUGUUUUACCAAGGCUUUGACUGGAAUGUCAUAUUUGAGGAUGACAUUCAUAGACUCAGAUAUGACCAGACAGCUUUAAGGAACUAGGAUUGGCAUUAUUAAACAUGGACCCAUAAAGCCCCUUGGAAAUGUUGGUCUGGUGCCUUGCUUACAGUUCUCCCAGCAGCCUCACCAGCUAUUUAUACAAUAAUAUAACAUUGGAAUAAGUGGGAAGCCUUCUGGAGGUUGAGCUUUGAGUCACUCUGUGUGAUCUCCAAACAGGUCAUGGGUCACAACCAGGUGGAACCGGUCUGUCAGCCACACAGCUGCAUCUAGGAUUUGUGGUAAACUACCACUCUGGCCCUGUGCUAUGUGAGAGCAAUCAGUUCCUUCAUCUCAAAGAAGAAUGACCCUCCUGUCCAUGAGCACCUGUUGCUUGUCUGGCAAUGGUAAUCCCCAUGGUGGGUGGCCAGCUUGCCUCCCUCCCUGGCUGACUGAAAUGUCUUCAUCCUAUAAGGCAGGUGGAUCAGGCAUGAACAAACUUCAGGAAAAUUCAGCCCAAAAAAGCCCUUACAAGGAAUACUGCACCAUGACUUGGUGACAAUACCUAAAGUACCAACAGGACCCCUGAUCUGCUAUCACUGAAUUACUUCCCUUUCUAUGUCCUGAUGGGUAGGGGAUACAAACGAGCCAAGGUCCGGAUCCUUCCUUCUCUUAAAGAAAAGUGCAAGCCUUUUGCCACAUGGGCACCCAGGUGUAAGUAAUGAAUGCUUCUCUUUGCCCCUGCCCGCCAGUGUUUCUUACUAUAGACAACCGCUAGCCUCUCAGGAGUUGGUGCUAGGCAUGACCUUCUCAGCUUCAUCUUGCUCUCCUUUGUAAUGAAACACUUUGGCCCUUUGCCUAUUUAUUUCCAUCCUUUUGCUCCUUUCUUCAAACUAACAUCUCUCUGGAGUCCAUUCAGAUUCAGUGUCUCAGAGCAAUAUCUUCCAAUUUAUACUGGGACCUCUGGCUGAGUGCUGGUGACUCAGGCAUAGAUUGGCAGCAGGACCUCUUGUAACUUCCUAUGAGAACUCUGUUCACAAUGAGAGGUGUAGGGCAUAUGAAGGUGCCAAGAUGGAUAUGGAUAGAUGUGGGUAGGUACUCAUGAAAGUUUGGAAAGGGUCUGGCCUUACACAUGGAGCAAGGAGAAAUGAAGGUAGAUAAACGUGGCUAGCAUAACUCAUUACCAUCAGUAAUGUAGAGACUUGACAUCCCUUGUAGCCAUUCCCACCAAUUUGCAAUUUUCUAAGUCUUGGGUCAUAUUCAGGGAAAACUGGGCCAUCACUCACUUCACACAAGCAGAACCCAAAUAUCGGUGCUAAACUGCCACUGUGGUCCAUUGUUAUGUGAGAGCAAACACUAACUUCAAAUCAAGGGAAGGAUGGCCUUCUUUCACUGAGUGCUUUGCGCUUGGCCAGCUCUGCUUAAAUGCAGUAAAGGGAACACAUGCCUUCAUUCUGUAUCAAACAUGAUUCCCAUAUGCACACUAUUCUUCAGACCUGGUGAACACAGAAAAGGCCUUUUGAAGAACUACUGUAUCAGGUCCAGGUUCCAAACACUUGAUAACCAGCUGGGAGCAGGACACCCUUGCCUCUAUAUCAAUGGUGCAUUUCUUUCCUGAUGGGAGAGACAGGGAAAAUUGCCAAAUACAGCUUUUCCUGUUUGUUAAUGAAAAUACGGAACUCCUGCAAAUUUUCACUCUCAUGUACAGCCAAUAAAGGUUUCCUUUUCCACCAGCUCUCAGGCUUUAUUUUCUGCCCAGACAGCCAGCC